UGAGGAAUAUUGGUCAAUGGGCGCGAGCCUGAACCAGCCAAGUAGCGUGAAGGAUGAAGGUCCUACGGAUUGUAAACUUCUUUUAUAAGGGAAUAAAGUCAUCUACGUGUAGGUGUUUGUAUGUACCUUAUGAAUAAGCAUCGGCUAACUCCGUGCCAGCAGCCGCGGUAAUACGGAGGAUGCGAGCGUUAUCCGGAUUUAUUGGGUUUAAAGGGAGCGUAGACGGGUCGUUAAGUCAGCUGUGAAAGUUUGGGGCUCAACCUUAAAAUUGCAGUUGAUACUGGCGUCCUUGAGUACGGUUGAGGCAGGCGGAAUUCGUGGUGUAGCGGUGAAAUGCUUAGAUAUCACGAAGAACCCCGAUUGCGAAGGCAGCCUGCUAAACCGCCACUGACGUUGAGGCUCGAAAGUGUGGGUAUCAAACAGGAUUAGAUACCCUGGUAGUCCACACGGUAAACGAUGGAUACUCGCUGUUGGCGAUAGACUGUCAGCGGCUUAGCGAAAGCGUUAAGUAUCCCACCUGGGGAGUACGCCGGCAACGGUGAAACUCAAAGGAAUUGACGGGGGCCCGCACAAGCGGAGGAGCAUGUGGUUUAAUUCGAUGAUACGCGAGGAACCUUACCCGGGCUUGAAUUGCAGACGAAUUGCUUGGAAACAGGCAAGCCGCAAGGCGUCUGUGAAGGUGCUGCAUGGUUGUCGUCAGCUCGUGCCGUGAGGUGUCGGCUUAAGUGCCAUAACGAGCGCAACCCUCGUGUCCAGUUACUAGCAGGUUAUGCUGAGGACUCUGGACAGACUGCCAUCGUAAGAUGUGAGGAAGGUGGGGAUGACGUCAAAUCAGCACGGCCCUUACGUCCGGGGCUACACACGUGUUACAAUGGGGGGUACAGCAGGCAGCUACCGGGCGACCGGAUGCCAAUCCCCAAAGCCUCUCUCAGUUCGGACUGGAGUCUGCAACCCGACUCCACGAAGCUGGAUUCGCUAGUAAUCGCGCAUCAGCCACGGCGCGGUGAAUACGUUCCC
rnacentral:rRNA from 1 species